AUUAGAGUUUGAUCCUGGCUCAGAAUCAACGCUGGCGGCGUGCCUCAGACAUGCAAGUCGAACGAUUAAAGCUCUCUUCGGAGAGUGCAUAGAGUGGCGCACGGGUGAGUAACACGUAAGUAAUCUACCUUCGAGUGGGGAAUAACGUCCGGAAACGGACGCUAAUACCGCAUAAUGCAGCGGCAUCGUAAGAUGACAGUUGUUAAAGAUUUAUCGCUUGAAGAGGAGCUUGCGGCAGAUUAGCUAGUUGGUAAGGUAAUGGCUUACCAAGGCUACGAUCUGUAACCGGUCUUAGAGGACGGUCGGUCACACUGACACUGAAUAACGGGUCAGACUCCUACGGGAGGCAGCAGUCGGGAAUUUUGGGCAAUGGGCGAAAGCCUGACCCAGCAACGCCGCGUGAAGGAUGAAGUAUUUCGGUAUGUAAACUUCGAAAGAAUAGGAAGAAUUAAUGACGGUACUAUUUAUAAGGUCCGGCUAACUACGUGCCAGCAGCCGCGGUAAUACGUAGGGACCAAGCGUUGUUCGGAUUUACUGGGCGUAAAGGGCGCGUAGGCGGCGUGGUAAGUCACUUGUGAAAUCUCUGAGCUUAACUCAGAACUGCCAAGUGAUACUGCUGUGCUAGAGUGCAGAAGGGGCAAUCGGAAUUCUUGGUGUAGCGGUGAAAUGCGUAGAUAUCAAGAGGAACACCUGAGGUGAAGACGGGUUGCUGGGCUGACACUGACGCUGAGGCGCGAAAGCUAGGGGAGCAAACGGGAUUAGAUACCCCGGUAGUCCUAGCCCUAAACGAUGAAUACUUGGUGUCUGGAGU
rnacentral:rRNA from 1 species